CAGCCGCCGCGGUAAUACCGGCGGCUCGAGUGGUGGCCACUUUUAUUGGGCUUAAAGCGUUCGUAGCUGGGUUGUUAAGUCUCUUGGGAAAUCUGGCAGCUUAACUGUCAGGCGUCUAAGAGAUACUGGCAAUCUAGGAACCGGGAGAGGUGAGGGGUACUUCGGGGGUAGGAGUGAAAUCCUGUAAUCCUCGAGGGACCACCUGUGGCGAAGGCGCCUCACCAGAACGGCUUCGACAGUGAGGGACGAAAGCUGGGGGAGCAAACCGGAUUAGAUACCCGGGUAGUCCCAGCCGUAAACGAUGCGCGUUAGGUGUGUCGAUGACCACGAGUCAUCGAGGUGCCGAAGGGAAACCGUGAAACGCGCCGCCUGGGAAGUACGGUCGCAAGGCUGAAACUUAAAGGAAUUGGCGGGGGAGCACCACAACAGGUGGAGCCUGCGGUUUAAUUGGACUCAACGCCGGGAAGCUCACCGGAUAGGACAGCAGAAUGAUUGCCGGGCUGAAGACUCUGCAUGACUAGCUGAGAGGAGGUGCAUGGCCGUCGUCAGUUCGUACUGUGAAGCAUCCUGUUAAGUCAGGCAACGAGCGAGACCCACGCCAACAGUUGCCAGCACGAUCCCCGGAUCGGUGGGGACACUGUUGGGACCGCCUCUGCUAAAGAGGAGGAAGGAAUGGGCAACGGUAGGUCAGCAUGCCCCGAAUUAUCCGGGCUACACGCGGGCUACAAUGGGCAGGACAAUGGGUAUCGACGCCGAAAGGCGAAGGCAAUCUCCUAAACCUGUCCGUAGUUCGGAUUGUGGGCUGUAACUCGCCCACAUGAAGCUGGAAUCUGUAGUAAUCGCGUUUCAAAAUAGCGCGGUGAAUAUGUCCCUGCUCCUUGCACACACCGCCCGUCAAACCACCCGAGUGGGGUUUGGAUGAGGCUGCGGUCGUUGCCGCAGUCGAAUCUAGGUUCUGCAAGGGGGGUUAAGUCGUAACAAGGUAGCCGUAGGGGAAUCUGCGGCUG
rnacentral:rRNA from 1 species